ACGCAGGUAAAUAAGAAAGUUCGUAUAUUCCUGAGGAUAUGGCUUAGGAGUUUCUACCAGGUCGCCGUUAACGACCAGACUACGAACAAAAUGUCGACGGGA
rnacentral:ncRNA from 2 species